rnacentral:rRNA from 1 species
GAUGAACGCUAGCGAUAGGCUUAACACAUGCAAGUCGAGGGGCAGCGCGGGUAGCAAUACCUGUCGGCGACCGGCGCACGGGUGAGUAACGCGUAUGUAACCUGCCCGCAACAGGGGGAUAACCCGGCGAAAGUCGGACUAAUACCGCAUAAAACAGGGGUCCCGCAUGGGAAUAUUUGUUAAAGAUUUAUCGGUUGCGGAUGGGCAUGCGUACCAUUAGGUAGUUGGUGAGGUAACGGCUCACCAAGCCUUCGAUGGUUAGGGGUUCUGAGAGGAAGGUCCCCCACACUGGUACUGAGACACGGACCAGACUCAUACGGGAGGCAGCAGUGAGGAAUAUUGGUAAAUGGGCGAGAGCCUGAACCAGCCAAGUAGCGUGAAGGAUGACUGCCCUAUGGGUUGUAAACUUCUUUUACAAGGGAAUAAAAUGAGAUACGUGUAUUUUAUUGCAUGUACCUUGGGAAUAAGCAUCGGCUAACUCCGUG